UACGGGGGGGGCAAGCGUUGUUCGGAAUUACUGGGCGUAAAGGGCGCGUAGGCGGUCUGUUAAGUUGGAUGUGAAAACUCUGGGCUUAACCCAGAGCCUGCAUCCAAAACUAGCAGGCUAGAGUUCUGGAGGGGAUAGCGGAAUUCCUGGUGUAGCGGUGAAAUGCGUAGAUAUCAGGAGGAACACCGGUGGCGAAGGCGGCUAUCUGGACAGAAACUGACGCUGAGGCGCGAAGGCCAGGGGAGCAAACAGG
rnacentral:rRNA from 1 species